AGUAAGGUGAAUGUGGGUGUAAGGGGUGUUACUUAGAUCUUUUGUAUGGUUCGCAGAACUUCAAGAGGAAAAUAUUGUAGUUCUUCGAAGAGUUUAUAACAUUGAAGAGUUUGGAAUUGAACUUUCAAUCUGACAUUAUUGGUUGCUGGGAAGGUCUUUCUGUAUC